rnacentral:rRNA from 1 species
AGCGAACGCUGGCGGCAGGCCUAACGCAUGCAAGUCGAACGAACCUUUCGGGGUUAGUGGCGGACGGGUGAGUAACACGUGGGAACGUGCCUUUAGGUUCGGAAUAACUCAGGGAAACUUGUGCUAAUACCGAAUGUGCCCUUCGGGGGAAAGAUUUAUCGCCUUUAGAGCGGCCCGCGUCUGAUUAGCUAGUUGGUUGAGGUAAUGGCUCACCAAGGCGACGAUCAGUAGCUGGUCUGAGAGGAUGAUCAGCCACAUUGAGACUGAGACACGGCCCAAACUCCUACGGGAGGCAGCAGUGGGGAAUCUUGCGCAAUGGGCGAAAGCCUGACGCAGCCAUGCCGCGUGAAUGAUGAAGGUCUUAGGAUUGUAAAAUUCUUUCACCGGGGACGAUAAUGACGGUACCCGGAGAAGAAGCCCCGGCUAACUUCGU